GCAUGCUUUACACAUGCAAGUCGAACGGUAACAGGUCUUCGGAUGCUGACGAGUGGCGAACGGGUGAGUAAUGCAUCGGAACGUGCCCAGUCGUGGGGGAUAACGCAGCGAAAGCUGCGCUAAUACCGCAUACGAUCUAUGGAUGAAAGCGGGGGACCGUAAGGCCUCGCGCGAUUGGAGCGGCCGAUGUCAGAUUAGGUAGUUGGUGGGGUAAAGGCCCCCAAGCCAACGAUCUGUAGCUGGUCUGAGAGGACGACCAGCCACACUGGGACUGAGACACGGCCCAGACUCCUACGGGAGGCAGCAGUGGGGAAUUUUGGACAAUGGGCGCAAGCCUGAUCCAGCAAUGCCGCGUGCAGGAAGAAGGCCUUCGGGUUGUAAACUGCUUUUGUACGGAACGAAACGGUUCUCUCUAAUACAGAGGGCUAAUGACGGUACCGUAAGAAUAAGCACCGGCUAACUACGUGCCAGCAGCCGCGGUAAUACGUAGGGUGCAAGCGUUAAUCGG
rnacentral:rRNA from 1 species